rnacentral:lncRNA from 1 species
UCUUUCUUUUGUUCCUGGACUUUUUUGACUUCAAGACAGUACUUAAUAAUUUAAUAAUGUAUAGUACCACUCUCUCUCCAUCUUGUAGGUGAUUUUUUUAGAAAUUGUUCAAAAGAAGGUGCUCAUUGAAGUUGUUGCCAUUAGUUACGAUAAGCCACGUCCACUUAAAACAUACAAGCUGCAAGGGAGCUGAUUUUAGCAGGUGUUGCAUUGAAGCUAAAAUAAAAAUUAAAUCUUCUGUUGAUAGUGUCAGUGCCUAUAUUGAGUCAAAUUUUACAUCAGUGUCAAUCGGGUACAAAAUAAGUUUUUAGUAAAAAUAUAAUUUUAAAUUUUCUAAGUAUUCAGGAGGUUGAUUUGACCUUUGUGUGUUCCGGUGACCUUUCAAACUGAAGCCCAUAUCAUGACCCACAGGAUUGAAUUGAUCAUACACCUCUCUACCUCUCGGACUUUCUGCAUCACAAGAUAGUCAGCAUAAAUUAAAGCUAUGGGAUGAGAUGGAGUGUUAUUAGGCUCACCAAUCCAUGCACUAAUUACAGUACAUACAGCUCUCUCAAAGGAUAGUAAUUGCUGGUUAGUUGAUUAGAGGCUAGUGGAAAGUGAAUCAUGUUUGAAGAUUAAAGAAGCGGCUGGCACUGAGCAUGUUUGGACUGCUGACGAUUUAAAGCUAACAAAUACAAAAAGUUUUUAUUUUGGCAAUGAAUUUUGUAUAAUUACAUGUAUUAUUAUGUUUACAAUAAUAAAA